rnacentral:rRNA from 1 species
ACGAUCUAAGGAUGAAAGCGGGGGGAUUCGCAAAGAACCUCGCGCGAUUGGAGCGGCUGAUAUCAGAUUAGGUUGUUUGGUGAGGUAAAAGCUCACCAAGCCGACGAUCUGUAGCUGGUUUGAGAGAACGACCAGCCACACUGGGACUGAGACACGGCCCAGACUCCUACGGGAGGCAGCAGUGGGGAAUUUUGGACAAUGGGCGAAAGCCUGAUCCAGCAAUGCCGCGUGCAGGAAGAAGGCCUUCGGGUUGUAAACUGCUUUUGUACGGAACGAAAAGGCUCUUUCUAAUAAAGAGGGCCCAUGACGGUACCGUAAGAAUAAGCACCGGCUAACUACGUG